rnacentral:rRNA from 1 species
GAUGAACGUUGGCGGCGUGGAUUAGGCAUGCAAGUCGAGCGAGAACCGGUUUCGGCCGGGGACAGCGGCGAACGGCGUAGUAAUGCAUCGGAACGUACCCUCUGGUCGGGGAUAGCUACGGGAAACUGUAGGUAAUACCCGAUGCUCUCUACGGAGCAAAGGUGAGAUUCCGCCGGAGGAGCGGCUGAUGUGAUAUUAGCUAGUUGGUGGGGUAAUGGCCUACCAAGGCGAUGAUGUCUAGGGUGUGUGAGAGCAUGGCCCCCACGACCGGAACUGAGAUACUGUCCGGACACCUACGGGUGGCUGCAGUCGAGAAUCUUCCGCAAUGGACGAAAGUCUGACGGAGCGACGCCGCGUGCGGGAUGAAGGCCCUUGGGUUGUAAACCGCUGUCAGAGGGGAUGAAAUCUUCGGAGGUACUCCUCCGAAGUUGACAGAGCCUCAAAGGAAGCACGGGCUAAGUACGUGCCAGCCGCCGCAGUAAGAC